rnacentral:rRNA from 1 species
ACGCUGGCGGCGCGCCUAACACAUGCAAGUCGAACGGAGACACUCUGUUCACUGAAUGGUAGAAGGCGGCGGAACCAGAAAGGGAGCGUCGGUUUUCUACUGUUGAGUGAAUGGAGUGUCUUAGUGGCGGACGGGUGAGUAACGCGUGAAUAACCUGCCUUGCAGUGGGGAAUAACACACCGAAAGGUGUGCUAAUACCGCAUGAUGUAAGGGGAAGGCAUCUUCCCCUUACCAAAGAUUUAUCGCUGUGAGAUGGAUUCGCGUCCGAUUAGAUAGUUGGUGAGGUAACGGCCCACCAAGUCGACGAUCGGUAGCCGGACUGAGAGGUUGAACGGCCACAUUGGGACUGAGACACGGCCCAGACUCCUACGGGAGGCAGCAGUGGGGGAUAUUGCACAAUGGGCGCAAGCCUGAUGCAGCGACGCCGCGUGUGGGAAGACGGCCCUCGGGUUGUAAACCACUGGCUUUGGGGACGAUAAUGACGGUACCCAAGGAGGAAGCUCCGGCUAACUACGUGCCAGCAGCCGCGGUAAUACGUAGGGAGCGAGCGUUGUCCGGAAUUACUGGGUGUAAAGGGAGCGUAGGCGGGAGUGCAAGUUGAAUGUUUAAUCUAUGGGCUCAACCCAUAUCAGCGUUCAAAACUGCAUUUCUUGAGUGAAGUAGAGGUUGGCGGAAUUCCUAGUGUAGCGGUGAAAUGCGUAUAUAUUAUGAGGAACACCAGUG